rnacentral:rRNA from 1 species
GCGGCCACUGCUAUCAAGUUCCGACUAAGCCAUGCGAGUCAAGGUAUCGUAAGAUGCCGGCAAACUGCUCAGUAACACGUGGAUAAUCUAACCUUGAGUAAGGGAUAACUUCGGGAAACUGAAGGUAAUACCUUAUAAUUGCUUAAAACUGGAAUGUUUUUGCAAUAAAAGUUACGACGCUCAAGGAUGAGUCUGCGACCUAUCAGGUAGUAGGUGGUGUAAUGGACCACCUAGCCUCAGACGGGUACGGGCCCUGGGAGGGGUAGCCCGGAGAUGGACUCUGAGACAUCAGUCCAGGCCCUACGGGGCGCAGCAGGCGCGAACACUGUGCAAUGCGCGAAAGCGCGACACGGGGAGCUUGAGUGUCUUGGCAUAGCCAAGACUUUUCUCAUUCCUAAAAAGCAUGAGGAAUAAGUGCUGGGUAAGACGGGUGCCAGCCGCCGCGGUAACACCCGCAGCACAAGUGGUGGUCACUUUUAUUGAGCCUAAAGCGUUCGUAGCCGGUUUUGUAAAUCUUUAGAUAAAGCCUGAAGCUUAACUCCAGAAAGUCUGAAGAGACUGCAAGACUUGAGAUCGGGUGAGGUUAAACGUACUUUCAGGGUAGGGGUAAAAUCCUGUAAUCCCGGAAGGACGACCAGUGGCGAAAGCGUUUAACUAGAACGAAUCUGACGGUAAGGAACGAAGGCUAGGGUAGCAAACCGGAUUAGAUACCCGGGUAGUCCUAGCUGUAAACAUUGCCCAUUUGAUGUUGCUUUUCCGUUGAGGGAAGGCAGUGUCGGAGCGAAGGUGUUAAAUGGGCCGCUUGGGAAGUAUGGUCGCAAGACUGAAACUUAA